rnacentral:rRNA from 1 species
CCUACGGGUGGCUGCAGUGGGGAAUAUUGGACAAUGGGCGAAAGCCUGAUCCAGCCAUGCCGCGUGUGUGAAGAAGGCCUUCGGGUUGUAAAGCACUUUCAGUGGGGAAGAAAGCCUUGGGGCUAAUACCCUCGAGGAAGGACAUCACCCACAGAAGAAGCACCGGCUAACUCCGUGCCAGCAGCCGCGGUAAUACGGAGGGUGCGAGCGUUAAUCGGAAUUACUGGGCGUAAAGCGCGCGUAGGCGGUCUGAUAAGCCGGUUGUGAAAGCCCCGGGCUCAACCUGGGAACGGCAUCCGGAACUGUCAGGCUAGAGUGCAGGAGAGGAAGGUAGAAUUCCCGGUGUAGCGGUGAAAUGCGUAGAGAUCGGGAGGAAUAACAGUGGCGAAGGCGGCCUUCUGGACUGACACUGACGCUGCGGUGCGAAAGCGUGGGUAGCAAACAGGAUUAGAUACCCUGGUAGUC